UGGGGAUUUUUGCACAAUGGGCGGAAGCCUGAUGCAGCGACGCCGUGUGGGGGAUGAAGGCCUUCGGGUUGUAAACUCCUUUCGUCAGGGACGAAGUUUGUUUGACGGUACCUGGAUAAGAAGCACCGGCUAACUACGUGCCAGCAGCCGCGGUAAUACGUAGGGUGCGAGCGUUGUCCGGAUUUACUGGGCGUAUAGGGCUCGUAGGUGGUGUGUUGCGUCGUCUGUGUAAUCCAGGGGCUUAACUUUUGGUUGGCAGGCGAUACGGACAUUGCUUGAGUGCUGUAGGGGAGACUGGAAUUCCUGGUGUAGCGGUGAAAUGCGCAGAUAUCAGGAGGAACACCGAUGGCGAAGGAAGGUCUCUGGGCAGUUACUGACGCUGAGGAGCGAGAGCAUGGGUAGCUAACAGG
rnacentral:rRNA from 1 species